rnacentral:misc_RNA from 1 species
AACGCACAUUGCGCCCGCCAGCACUCUGGCGGGCAUGCCUGUCCGAGCGUCACCUACAACCCUCAGGCCCUAGCUUGCCUGGUGUUGGGGCGCUACGGUGCCACCGCGCGCCGUAGGCCCCCAAAAGCAGUGGCGGACCCGCCGGUAGACCGGGCGCAGUAGCACACGACUUCUCGCCCCGGGCCGCCGGCGUGCCCCAGCCGUAAAACCCCCGACGCAGGCCAGAGAUGGCCGACCACGAGUUGACCUCGGAUCAGGUAGGACUACCCGCUGAACUUAA